UCGUACGAUCACCGAAGUUAAGCAACGCCGAGACUAAUUAGUACCUAGAUAGGUGACCUUUUGGGAAUACCAGGUGUUGUAAG